GUCUCACUUCUGUAGCACAUCUACUAAAAUUGGACCAAUACAGAGAUUAGCAUGGCCACUGUGAAAGGAUGACACACAAAUUCAUGAAACAUUCCAUAAUAUU
ensembl:snRNA U6 U6 spliceosomal RNA